CUUAAGAUAGUGUUUGCAGCCAGC
rnacentral:piRNA from 2 species